rnacentral:rRNA from 1 species
GACGAACGCUGGCGGCGUGCUUAACACAUGCAAGUCGAACGGAAAGGCCCUGCUUUUGUGGGGUGCUCGAGUGGCGAACGGGUGAGUAACACGUGAGUAACCUGCCCUUGACUUUGGGAUAACUUCAGGAAACUGGGGCUAAUACCGGAUAGGAGCUCCUGCUGCAUGGUGGGGGUUGGAAAGUUUCGGCGGUUGGGGAUGGACUCGCGGCUUAUCAGCUUGUUGGUGGGGUAGUGGCUUACCAAGGCUUUGACGGGUAGCCGGCCUGAGAGGGUGACCGGCCACAUUGGGACUGAGAUACGGCCCAGACUCCUACGGGAGGCAGCAGUGGGGAAUAUUGCACAAUGGGCGGAAGCCUGAUGCAGCAACGCAGCGUGCGGGAUGACGGCCUUCAGGUUGUAAACCGCUUUCGCCUGUGACGAAGCGUGAGUGACGGUAAUGAGUAAAGAAGCACCGGCUAACUACGUG